GCUAUAUACAAGGAGGACGAACGUAUAGUAUCAGAAGUGUCCCCGAAAAGGAGAGCAAAUAAAGUUUCAUUACAGAGUGCGCUGCAACUGCCUCGAAUCAGUUUUUAAAUUUAGCGGUUAAAAAUACUUUCACACUUUAACAACACUGUCCAAGUAAACUUAUUUUUACACUUGUUUAUGCUUACAUACACUGCAACAUCUCAACGGUUUUUUGUGACGUCACAGAGAUUUACUUGCCCGUUGCGCUAAUCUGGUGGUGAAAAUAUGUACAUGUUAUUUGAUGCUGUUUUUGGGGACACAUUUUAUACCAAAUGCCCUAUGCCGUGCGUGCUCCUUCUAUCUAAGCUCCGUGGUUGUACCUUUAACUUAGGAAAAAUAAGUCGACGAAGUAAAUAAAAAAUUAUAAACUAAAGAAAAUGGAAUAAUUGGUUAUGAUAUCACAAAUUCAAGGAAAAAUAACAAUAGCAUGAAAAAAAUGUCGAUAAAUCAUCCUAUAUAUCUGUAAAAAAAUUGUGAAAUGAAAUCAAUUUAUCUUUAACUUAAUUAUUGAGUAUAAAAAUGAAUAAUACUGCAUGUAAAAUGUAAUUGCCAAUUACAUGAAGCUUAGACAGUAAACCACAAAAUCAACAAUAUAAAAUAACCUGUUGAACCGUAAGAAAAUUAAUCGAUUAAUUAACCAUAAUUAACGGAUAACUCCCAAACACCACCGCCGCCCUCGUGAAGAAUUACCGUACCCGAUGUUUGCUCAUUUUCAACAACGCAAAUUCGACGAAAACGCGUAUCGCGUUCGUUCUCUUUGUAGGUAUAUAGGCUUCGUGAUCCUUCUUUUCAUUUAUCUGAUUCUUUCUGACCAUUGUAUACAAUAAUUCAUUUUCUAUGUUCCUUAAUCUAUAUUCCAAUGUUUAUAAUUACUCUCUAUGCUUAAAUUAUCGUUCGAAAACAGAUAUUGUAAUUUAGAAACGUCAUCUUAUUGAGUUGUUUAUUGUUGCAUGUGUAUAUUUAGGUGUAUAAAAGAGAAAGUAAAUCAUUAACUAAUAUAUAAAAAAAAUACAAGCAGAAUAAUGAAUAAUAAUGUUUAUGUUAAUAAUAUUUAACACAUGAAUAAUAAUAUUAAUAAUGAUAAUUUAUAAAAAUUAUCGUCUCGCAAUCUAAUGCGUUAGAUUAAAGUAAGGUUAAGUAACAGAUUAAUUAAAAGGAAACUAAUAGAAAGGUAAAAUAAAAGUUAAGUAUUAAGGAUUACGAAAGAUUGAAAAUAUUUCCACAAGAUAAGAAGAUCUGCUGAUUUAAAAAUACCAGAUAAAAGAAACUUAUAAAAAAAAUUAUUUCCCCAUCAAGAAUAGAAAACUAACCCACCGGAUCAACAGCUGAGAACGCUACUACCUACGCUAUUGUGCCAAUUGAUAAACAAUUGAAUUUACAAGAAGAUAAGCACAUAUAUAAAAAAAGCAAAUUUUGAAAGCUUUUUCCUCAAAAUUGGCUGACCAGUUCAUCGAAAUAUUUUACUGUAAGAAUACCUUAAAGGUUUACUACUGAUAUACCGAAGCUCUUAAAAAUCCGUUGGUGUUCAACUGUAGUGUCUUCUUGUAAGAGAUUUGUAUUAAAAAUAUUUGCUAGUUCUAAUUUUUUGCAAAUUUAGAAGUCAAGAAAAUAAAUAAAGCAUUAGAAAUAAAAGAAGUUAAAUAGAUGAAAUAAAUAUUGAAGAUCUUUAAAUUGAAAAGAAGAUUUCCAAAGUCAUAAUGCCAUCACAUGUUGAUACCACAAAAAAAUCAAGUGCAAAGUUCUUUUAUAGAAAUUGCAUUGAAGAAGGAAAUGAGUUGGUGUAUAAAUACACUUGAAAAAAAAAUGUACAAAUUUUAUUUAUAGUAUUUUUGCUUAUUUUUGUAUUAUACACGAUAGCUCAACGUACAAACUAUCUUAUAAUGAUAAAAUUUAGUCCUUAAAUAAUUUAUAUAUUCAAAAUAGCAGUGCCAUGAAAGACUUCAUUUAACACACAGCAUGCAGGACAAAUACUAGAACAAUAAAUACUAUAUGCCUGAAGCGAA
rnacentral:lncRNA from 1 species